rnacentral:rRNA from 1 species
UACGUAGGUGGCGAGCGUUGUCCGGAUUUACUGGGCGUAAAGAGCGCGCAGGCGGUCGUUCAAGUCGCGUGUGAAAGCUCCCGGCUCAACUGGGGAGGGUCACGCGAUACUGAUCGACUCGAAGGCAGGAGAGGGAAGUGGAAUUCCCGGUGUAGUGGUGAAAUGCGUAGAUAUCGGGAGGAACACCAGUGGCGAAGGCGACUUCCUGGCCUGUUCUUGACGCUGAGGCGCGAAAGCUAGGGGAGCAAACGGG